rnacentral:rRNA from 1 species
GCAGGUACAGGAAUGAUAUCUCAGGCAAAAAUUAGUCUAAGAUGAGAUAUCUUAUCAUCUCUUUUUUUUUUAGAAACGAAAAGAUAUCUUGUCUUAUAUUGUUUAUUGCGCACAUCGGGGGAUCGUGAAAAUUUUAUUGGUGAGUAAGUAUACUCGGAAGGGCAAUGAUGAAUAUUAAAUAAUCGGACAUAGUACGAUAAGGUUGUAUGUCUAAGGGGAAACAGCCCAGAACAAGAGUUAAGGUUCCUAAAUUAAGGUUAAGGGAAAUUAAGGUAUUUUCUAUUAAAUACAACUAGAAAGUAGGCUUAAAAGCGGCCAUUUUUUGAAGACCUCGUAACAAAGCACUGGUUUAGUAAGUAGUUAACUAUUUACAUUGAUAGAAGCACCGAAAAUAUAUCGGAUCUAAACAAUAUACCGACCCCUUGUUCAUGUUUAUAAAUAAAAAAAAAAAUAAAGGGGCCAACAAAGUAAGGCUUAACCUGCCUCUUGGAUGCCUUUUUCUUUUUAAGGCAGGCCUUGCCAGCAGGCAGGCCUUGCUUCGCCCAAAAAAAGAGCAGGCAGGCUUUUCCAGCUGGCAGUCCCGUAAGGGUAAGGCUUUGCCCUUGAUUUAAAAAAAAAGAGAAGGCUAACCUGCCUCAACUUGCCGGCAAGUAAGGGUAAGGCCUAUUUCUUAUUAAAGGCCUGGCUUCGCUAGAAA